CUUGCUCUGGUGGCGAGUGGCGAACGGGUGAGUAAUAUAUCGGAACGUACCCUAGAGUGGGGGAUAACGUAGCGAAAGUUACGCUAAUACCGCAUACGAUCUAAGGAUGAAAGUGGGGGAUCGCAAGACCUCAUGCUCGUGGAGCGGCCGAUAUCUGAUUAGCUAGUUGGUAGGGUAAAAGCCUACCAAGGCAUCGAUCAGUAGCUGGUCUGAGAGGACGACCAGCCACACUGGAACUGAGACACGGUCCAGACUCCUACGGGAGGCAGCAGUGGGGAAUUUUGGACAAUGGGCGAAAGCCUGAUCCAGCAAUGCCGCGUGAGUGAAGAAGGCCUUCGGGUUGUAAAGCUCUUUUGUCAGGGAAGAAACGGUGAGAGCUAAUAUCUUUUGCUAAUGACGGUACCUGAAGAAUAAGCACCGGCUAACUACGUGCCAGCAGCCGCGGUAAUACGUAGGGUGCAAGCGUUAAUCGGAAUUACUGGGCGUAAAGCGUGCGCAGGCGGUUUUGUAAGUCUGAUGUGAAAUCCCCGGGCUCAACCUGGGAAUUGCAUUGGAGACUGCAAGGCUAGAAUCUGGCAGAGGGGGGUAGAAUUCCACGUGUAGCAGUGAAAUGCGUAGAUAUGUGGAGGAACACCGAUGGCGAAGGCAGCCCCCUGGGUCAAGAUUGACGCUCAUGCACGAAAGCGUGGGAGCAAAC
rnacentral:rRNA from 1 species